GCGGAAGCUUCCAGAAGAAGAGUCUGUUUGACGAGGGGCACGGGAAGGGAAGAGGAAAUGAGGAGUUCACCGAGUUGUGGACAUACACCUGCUUCUCUCCUCUCUCCAUAAGCCCUUCCAUGGUCUGACAUGGGGCAGACUGGGUGUGGAUCACUUUGCUACUGCCAUCCCCAAAAUCCCACCUACAUGGCAUGCACCACAUGGGAAUUUGGGAUAAGCUGAAAAUACAACUUUACAGACUUCUCAUGCGACUUCCUGGGCACUUCCAGUGUGACACUUUACUGACCUCCACUGUGAGUUGACCGAUGUCUGGAACCUUGGAGAAGGGGUGUAUCUGGGUCUGAGCAUAGAUGCCGGUCAUGAGGACAACUCCAGUCACGAAACUGGCCACAGAUGGUAAAGAUUCUGCAUGAAGAGGAAUUAACCAAAAUCACCUCACGAGAAAGAGGUGUCUUCCAGCACAUUGAGCCUUCCUCCACCGUUUCUGUGUCCCCAAGGCCAUUUGAGUACAUACCGCCUGACUUUCACUGGCUCCGGCCCACCAUGAUGGCCCUGCUGGCUUCAAAACCCCAACCUGGUCAGACCCUUCUCCAUCUGAUCCCUUCAGCCAUACCCACACAGUGGUUUUCCUUAACCAGCACGAAAACAAAGGUGAAAUGUUAUGUUAAUAGAUAUAAGCACAUAUUGUAUAGAUACGUGAAAGGAGACAUUUUAGAAAGACUAUUGUUUGUUUUAACACUCACACUGGAAAGGAGUAGUGGAUGAAGUUUUGCAGCUCCAGGCUGUCAGCAUAGGCCAGAUCUCCUCCCUGAGUCUCUCUGCAUGAAUCCUGUGCUUCAGGCCAUGAAAAUGUCAUCUCAGAGAGCCAAUAGCAUCGCUGGCUGGGAAGGUGGAUCUGACCUCCUUUUGGACAAGGGAUGUCCUCUGGAAGGCAACAAACACACUGAACCGAUAGCAUGCAAAAGGAGCCAUCUGUCAACAAUGGUAUGUAACAAUGCUGUAGCUUUGACAAAGAAUCAAAGAAAUAAAAAGAAUGUGGGUAAAUAAA